AUUUCACUAGCAAAUGGCUGUAUAAGCCUGAGACGGCCGCUCGAACAAUGAAAUGGCCGUCACAUGAGGUACGGAAGGUUCACAAACCAAAACUAAAUUCGAAACGCGCGCCGAACCGGACUAUUUCGCGGAGCAGUACAUGUGCAGUAGCUCCGCCCCCGUAGCCUUCCCUUCAUUGCCAAGAAAAGUUGUCCUUGGGGGCGCUUUAGUUGUUUGACGGGUGCACGGUGCGCGCGGUUUGUGUGUGUGUGUGCCAUGCUGUGUUCUGCAAUGCUUCGUUACCACGUUUAUCGAUUAUGCACGUUGGUUACUUGAUUCAAUGUCAAGUGUACCUUCCAAGACGAUCUAGGUCCUAGUCUCGUGACUGAAGGCGAGUGCGGACGUACAGCAGCCUUUUGACAAGACUGUCGCCGAGUGUACGGUACAUUGUGGACUGUAAAGCUGAAGAGUGCACAGUGGAUGCCUGAUUUUGGAACCGAGUGUGAUCGUCUGGGCGGUGUGUUCACUCUGCGGGGAUGAUGGCCAGAGGAAGGAUGAUAGACAGACGACAGCUUGCAGACGAAGAUGGGAGCGUUCUACCUGUGAGCCUGGUCGAGCUUAUAUUUUAUGGAUACACAUGCAUGGAUACACAUACAUGGAUUCCCUACAAGGACCCUGCGCAUCAAAAGCAAUCUGUCAUCAAUGUUAAGUAGACAGAUUAAACGAAACGAAGAUAUGACAGGUGUACACCAUAUUUUUCUUUCAUUUAACCUCUGCAUGUUUCCCAGU